UGGCUGCCCUGCUGAACUCAGGAUUCUAUUCAUAAGGAAGAAGAUGUGAAUAAAUAUUGGAGAUGUGUAUCAGUCAGAAAACACCCCAUUUCAUGCAGUUCAAAGAGAAAGGGAGUUGAUACAAAGAAUCAAGUGCUUGUGCUUGCAAGAUGGUUUAAAGGGCUAAAGGAAGGAAGGGAAGGGAAGGUCGGAGCAGGCUCUCGGGUUCACCGCCUGAUUUCAGACACGGGAAUGCCACGACCACAGAAAACCACCACUGAUGACUAGAACUACCUGCAACACCAAGACAGGUGAUUCACAGGGGAAAAUCAGAGGCGGCUGCAAAACAAACCCAAAUGUGUCUGCCCACCACUGCUGAAGGAACCCUUUGGCGUCUGUUCCCCUUCUAUCUUCCAAUUCUCAGUGAGUGCCUCUCAUCGGGAAAUUUAAACCAGAAGCCUGCUGGCAACAGAUUCUGGGAAAUAUAGUUCCCAGUCUUCCAGCCCCUACAUUACAGAGGAGUUGGAGUUCUGAAACCACCUCAUACUUGGAAUAGAAGCCAUGUGAAAACAAAGCCCCUGCAUCACUCCUAUCUGCCUGGAAUGCUGUUGUGUGAAGGUGUAAUGUUUGAAGCUGUGGCUGCCAUCUUGUGACAAAGGGGCACUCCGUGUUGUCAGGAUGAGGACGGCAGAGGAAGAUGCUGGGGAAAGCCUGGAUCUGCGGACAUCUCUGAACCACUACGUCCUGGGACCAGCUAUCUGGGCUUCCUGUUUUGUUCAGCUCAAAACUGACUUCGCCGCCAACGCUGCCUGGAUCCUGACUCUGUUGGGAUUGUUCUCAGAGCCUGCUCAGUGUACUUGGAAAUGUCCUUCAAAGCCUGCUAACUCUCAUCAUUUCAG
rnacentral:lncRNA from 1 species